GAUGAACGCUGGCGGCGUGCCUAAUACAUGCCAGUCGAACGAAAAGACGAGGAGCUUGUUCCCUUGACGUUAGCGGCGGACGGGUGAGUAACACGUGGAUCACCUACUUCUAUGUCGGGGAUAAUUACGGGAAACCGGAGCUAAUACCAGAUCACAUGUUGAACCGCAUGGUUCAACGGAGAUAGACGGUCUUGCCGUCUGUUAUAGCUGGAUCCGGGCUGUAUUAGCUAGUUGGUAAGGUCACGGCUUACCAAGGCUACGAUGCGUAGCCGACCUGAGAGGAUGAUCGGCCACACUGGAACUGAGACACGGUCCAGACUCCUACGGGAGGCAGCAGUAGGGAAUCUUCGGCAAUGGGCGAAAGCCUGACGGAGCAACGCCGCGUGAGUGAAGAAGGUCUUCGGAUCGUAAAGCCCUGUUAUUAGGAAAGAACAAAUGUGGAAUGAACCAUGGACGUCUUGACGGUACCUAAUCAAAAAGCCACGGCUAACUACGUG
rnacentral:rRNA from 1 species